ACUUAAAUUGAAGAGUUUGAUCAUGGCUCAGAUUGAACGCUGGCGGCAGGCCUAACACAUGCAAGUCGAGCGGUAGCACAGAGAGCUUGCUCUCGGGUGACGAGCGGCGGACGGGUGAGUAAUGUCUGGGAAACUGCCUGAUGGAGGGGGAUAACUACUGGAAACGGUAGCUAAUACCGCAUAAUGUCGCAAGACCAAAGUGGGGGACCUUCGGGCCUCAUGCCAUCAGAUGUGCCCAGAUGGGAUUAGCUAGUAGGUGGGGUAACGGCUCACCUAGGCGACGAUCCCUAGCUGGUCUGAGAGGAUGACCAGCCACACUGGAAC
rnacentral:rRNA from 1 species